rnacentral:rRNA from 1 species
UACGAAGGGGGCUAGCGUUGUCCGGAAUCACUGGGCGUAAAGGGCGCGUAGGCGGUCUGGUAAGCGUGCGGUGAAAGCCCGGGGCUCAACCCCGGGUCGGCCGUGCGAACUGCUGGACUGGAGCUUGUCAGAGGCAGGCGGAAUUCCGGGUGUAGCGGUGGAAUGCGUAGAGAUCCGGAAGAACACCGGUGGCGAAGGCGGCCUGCUGGGACAGUGCUGACGCUGAAGCGCGACAGCGUGGGGAGCAAACAGG